UCAGGCUUACACAUGNCAGUCGCGGGGCAGCAUGCCUUGUCCUCGGACGAGGCGAUGGCGACCGGCGCACGGGUGAGUAACGCGUAUCCAACCUUCCCGCGAGCGGGGUAUAGCCCGGCGAAAGUCGGAUUAAUCCCCCAUACCUCCCAUGACGUCCUCGGAGUGGGAGCAAAGGCUUUAGCCGCUUGCGGAUGGGGAUGCGUCCGAUUAGGAAGUAGGCGGGGUAACGGCCCACCUAUCCAUCGAUCGGUAGGGGUUCUGAGAGGAAGGUCCCCCACACUGGUACUGAGACACGGACCAGACUCCUACGGGAGGCAGCAGUGAGGAAUAUUGGUCAAUGGGCGCAGGCCUGAACCAGCCAAGUAGCGUGCAGGACGACGGCCCUACGGGUUGUAAACUGCUUUUAUACGGGAAUAAAGUCCGCCACUUGUGGCGGUUUGCAUGUACCGUUAUGAAUAAGGACCGGCUAAUUCCGUGCCAGCAGCCGCGGUAAU
rnacentral:rRNA from 1 species